AAUGCAACCGCACAGAAGUGGUUUUAAAGUAGAUUUCUCACCACAAUUGGCGUGUCUUAAAA
rnacentral:sRNA from 1 species